rnacentral:rRNA from 1 species
AUUGAACGCUGGCGGCAGGCCUAACACAUGCAAGUCGAACGGUAGCACAGAGAGCUUGCUCUCGGGUGACGAGUGGCGGACGGGUGAGUAAUGUCUGGGAAACUGCCUGAUGGAGGGGGAUAACUACUGGAAACGGUAGCUAAUACCGCAUAACGUCGCAAGACCAAAGAGGGGGACCUUCGGGCCUCUUGCCAUCAGAUGUGCCCAGAUGGGAUUAGCUAGUAGGUGGGGUAACGGCUCACCUAGGCGACGAUCCCUAGCUGGUCUGAGAGGAUGACCAGCCACACUGGAACUGAGACACGGUCCAGACUCCUACGGGAGGCAGCAGUGGGGAAUAUUGCACAAUGGGCGCAAGCCUGAUGCAGCCAUGCCGCGUGUAUGAAGAAGGCCUUCGGGUUGUAAAGUACUUUCAGCGGGGAGGAAGGUGUUGUGGUUAAUAACCACAGCAAUUGACGUUACCCGCAGAAGAAGCACCGGCUAACUCCGUGCCAGCCGCCGCGGUAA